rnacentral:tRNA from 1 species
GGCUCCAUAGUGUAGUGGUUAGCACGUCUGCUUUACACGCAGAAGGUCCUGGGUUCGUGCCCCAGGUGGAACCA